rnacentral:rRNA from 1 species
GACGAACGCUGGCGGCGUGCUUAACACAUGCAAGUCGAACGGAAAGGCCUGCAGCUUGCUGCGGGUACUCGAGUGGCGAACGGGUGAGUAACACGUGGGUGAUCUGCCUUGCACUUCGGGAUAAGCUUGGGAAACUGGGUCUAAUACCGGAUAGGACAGCUGUUUAGUGUCAGUUGUGGAAAGUUUUUUCGGUGCAAGAUGAGCUCGCGGCCUAUCAGCUUGUUGGUGGGGUAAUGGCCUACCAAGGCGUCGACGGGUAGCCGGCCUGAGAGGGUGUACGGCCACAUUGGGACUGAGAUACGGCCCAGACUCCUACGGGAGGCAGCAGUGGGGAAUAUUGCACAAUGGGCGGAAGCCUGAUGCAGCGACGCCGCGUGGGGGAUGAAGGCCUUCGGGUUGUAAACUCCUUUCGACAGGGACGAAGCUUUUGUGACGGUACCUGUAUAAGAAGCACCGGCUAACUACGUGCCAGCAGCCGCGGUAAUACGUAGGGUGCGAGCGUUGUCCGGAAUUACUGGGCGUAAAGAGCUCGUAGGUGGUUUGUCGCGUCGUCUGUGAAAUUCCGGGGCUUAACUCCGGGCGUGCAGGCGAUACGGGCUGGCUUGAGUGCUGUAGGGGAGACUGGAAUUCCUGGUGUAGCGGUGAAAUGCGCAGAUAUCAGGAGGAACACCGAUGGCGAAGGCAGGUCUCUGGGCAGUAACUGACGCUGAGGAGCGAAAGCAUGGGUAGCGAACAGG